rnacentral:lncRNA from 1 species
CGAGUCUCGUCAAGACCUCAUCUUUAACUCAUUACAAUUAUUCGGAGUUAGAGACGAGCGAAUUAGCUGGCCGGAGGUGCGAGGGAUGUAGGCUCGGCAACCACCUCGGCUCCGGAGUAGCCAUUACUACUACCGUGUUUGUGCUUGUCGCUAGAACCCCAAAAAGUCGCGGUUUUCUCAUCGUCCUCGAUCAUCAUCCUUGAGAACUCAUCGUGAUCGUACUUCAGCGUCGCCUUCCCGCCAAACUCGGUCGGAAGAUUAUCCAUGUCGAAAUAGGACCUCAUGAGCUCGACGCUCUCUUUGUUCAUCGGGUAUACGAAUUUCACCUUCUGGAAUGUUUUUGAAUCCAAGAAAUACUUGACAAUCUGCACCCACAAAAGCAACAAUAGUGUUGUUCAAUUGACUAACGAGCACUUGCCAGAAGAACAAAACCUACAGUCAAUUAACAAGCGGACUCGUGCGAACGGGCACAAGUAAUUGCCAAACACAAUUCAGCUAUUAUAUUAGUCGGUUAGAACAUUUCUCCUUAAUGACACUAUCAAAUAAUAUGUUGCUACUUUAGCAUGUUAUUCAAGGGUCGCGAGUCAUACAGCCCAACGGAGCAUGUCUGGAAUGUUAGAAAUUUUCAAAAUAUUAAAGGGUUAUUAUUGGGUUUUUGAAAAGCUUCCUUGUUCCUUUAGAAUGCUCAUUUUUUAUAUGUAGGUUUUGUCCACAUUGGUUAGAUAUGAAAAGUUUGUCUUUAAAAUGCUUAAAGUAUUAAAUAUGUUACCACAUUGCUUAAAGUAUUAAAUAUGUUUGGAUCUAAAAGGGCUAUGCUACCAUAUAGUAUUUCGCGCCACGCGUGCGGCAGUGGGCUGUGUGGCGCUUUGAUGGUUCAAUUUUUUUACGAUCAACGGAUAUAGUUUAAUCCGAAAAGAUGUGAACGUACGGAUUGAUCUAACGGUCACAACUCAACGCGAAAGGUUAUGAUUGAAGGGACGCGUAGUAGCCUAUAAAUAGACCACCCCUUAGAACAUUUAUUAAUAUCAGAAAAAAUUCAGAGAAGAAAGAUGGAUUAAUUCAUAUCGUUUUGAUCAUUCAUUCUAAGAUUUUGUUAUUCUGAAAAAAAAAAUCUUAGUGGUUCUCGGUUCUCUUUUACUACUUAUGCAGAUAUUCUGACUGUUCUGUUUGUACAAACAAGAAUAGUAAGAACUAAGAGUUCAAGUUUCAUUGUAUUUUAAAGGCAAUUUGUUGUAACCCGUGCACACUAUCUGGUGGGGACAAAUACUGUCUUUAGGAAAGCGAUAUUAUAACGCGCCUUAAAGUGUAUUGUAUUUGAAGACACCGCUAUACCAUCGAAAUAAUUUUCCAAACAUGGGAAAGCAGUUAAGAUUAAAUGGAUUGACAGAGUGUUGAAGGAAAGAUCAUUUGAUAUCACGCUAAUGAUUUGUGGCUCACAGCCCGGGCGAUGGUGUUGAUAUUAUAAUCGUCCAACAAAAACAUAAAGUCAAUAUACCUCUGAGUCAUGAAUCACGUGUGGACCUACCAGACAAAAAAAAAUACUUACCAGUCCCUACCAAGACAUGGCAUGAUAGCAACAACACUGAUACAAGUCUUAGGCCGUGUUUGAUUAGUGGGAAUUGGAGUUUGACCGCGUUCACCAAUCACUUGGGUCCUGCUUCGGACCCAAAAGUUCUUUGUUAUCACCAAGCUCCUAUUUGUUUCGACAACGGGAUUAGGAUCGGUAAUCCAAAUGUGUUCCUAGUCCCCCACAAUGGUAGGAUUAUCAAUACCAAACCCAAAUGCUAGCCCUAAACCCUAAUAUGUAUCCCAUGGUAUUGCGACUUUGUCUAUCAAUUGUGACCUGAAAUUAGGGUUGUGAACAUCCUAAAAAGUUGAUCAU